rnacentral:rRNA from 1 species
ACGGAAGGCAGCAGUGGGGGAUAUUGCACAAUGGGGGAAACCCUGAUGCAGCGACGCCGCGUGAGUGAAGAAGUAUUUCGGUAUGUAAAGCUCUAUCAGCAGGAAAGAUAAUGACGGUACCUGACUAAGAAGCUCCGGCUAAAUACGUGCCAGCAGCCGCGGUAAUACGUAGGGGGCAAGCGUUAUCCGGAUUUACUGGGUGUAAAGGGAGCGUAGGUGGCAUGGCAAGUCAGAAGUGAAACCCCAGGGCUUAACUUUGGGAUUGCUUUUGAAACUGUCAGGCUAGAGUACAGGAGGGGUAAGCGGAAUUCCCAGUGUAGCGGUGAAAUGCGUAGAUAUUGGGAAGAACACCGGCGGCGAAGGCGGCUUACUGGACUGAAACUGACACUGAGGCUCGAAAGCGUGGGGAGCAAACAGGAUUAGAUACCCUGGUA